rnacentral:rRNA from 1 species
AGUGAACGCUGGCGGUAGGCCUAACACAUGCAAGUCGAACGGCAGCACAGUAAGAGCUUGCUCUUACGGGUGGCGAGUGGCGGACGGGUGAGGAAUACAUCGGAAUCUACUUAUUCGUGGGGGAUAACGUAGGGAAACUUACGCUAAUACCGCAUACGACCUACGGGUGAAAGCAGGGGAUCUUCGGACCUUGCGCGAUUGAAUGAGCCGAUGUCGGAUUAGCUAGUUGGCGGGGUAAAGGCCCACCAAGGCGACGAUCCGUAGCUGGUCUGAGAGGAUGAUCGGCCACACUGGAACGGAGACACGGACCAGACUACUACGGGAGGCAGCAGUGGGGAAUAUUGGACAAUGGGCGCAAGCCUGAUCCAGCCAUACCGCGUGGGAGAAGAAGGCCUUCGGGUUGUAAAGCCCUUUUGUUGGGAAAGAAAAGCAGCAGGUUAAGACCCCGCUGUUCUGACGGUACCCAAAGAAUAAGCACCGGCUAACUUCGUG